rnacentral:rRNA from 1 species
UACAAAAACAUAGUCUUAGGCCACAGAUCUAAGAUUAAACCUGCCCAAUGUAUAUAAAUAGAAUUAUGAAUGGCCGCGGUACUUUGACCGUGCUAAGGUAGCGCAAUCAAUUGGCUUUUAAAUGGAGUCAGGUAUGAAUGGGAUCACGGAGUUUAGCUGUCUCUAAACUAAUUCAUUGAAAUUACUAUGUAGGUGAAAAAGCCUUCAAAUAGAAAAAAGACGAGAAGACCCUUAGAGUUUUAUUUAUAGUAAAAGAAUUUUUUAUAAUAAUUUAGUUGGGGCAACAAAGGAACAUUUUAAUUAAAUUUCCUUAUUUUUAUUUAUCGAUUUUUGUAAAUUUAUAAAAACUACCUUAGGGAUAACAGCAUAAUUUAGUUAAUAAGUUUGUGACCUCGAUGUUGGACUAGGGCACUAAAAGGCUAGCCGCUUUUUAAGAAGGUUCUGUUCGAACUAAUAAUCCUACGUG